ACUUCUUUAGUAUAACUAGUACAAUUGACUUCCAAUCAGUUAGCUCCAUAUUAACCUGGAAAGAAGUA
rnacentral:tRNA from 1 species